CAAGGUCAUUUCUAAGUGGGAUGAUUUAAUAAUCUUUGGAAUUCUGCAUGAUUUGGACAGAUUUCUCACUGAAAAUCUGUUCUUUUACAUGACCCUGAGUCCCUGAUGAAUUCUGUAAAUUUAGGCGUAGGGUUGACUUUUAAGGUAAUGUUAGUAUAAGAAAUUCAUACAAUAGUCUGCAUGUACCACCAUUUUUUGUUGAACUUGUACAAAUUUUCCAGAUGAGGUUGGAUCAGUCCUUAUGAAUGUUGAAUCAAUGUUUAUAAAUAUGGUAAUUUGAAAGCUUUUUUUACAAAUUAACAGCAGCUGGUUUUAAAGCAAGAAAAAAAGACAUCCCAUUAAUUACAGUUGAGUUUAAGAUUGAAAUUUUACUGUUACAAUCAGGGCAUCAUGACCCCAAAUACACCCCACCACAGAUCCAUCUUCUUUCCUUUCUCUGUGGUUACAAAAAGGUCAAGAAACAGUAGGUACAUGUAGCAGUAAACUGCUGUACAGUAAAUGUCUCAUAAAAUCAGUGAUAACACAUACAAGUUUUAUUUGGCUACUGACAGUACUGUCCAUAAUGUAUGUGUUACCUUCAAAUAGUUUGGAAUCGUUUUUAAUUUUUAUCACGUUAUUUUACUGUUGAUUUUUAUUUGUAUAUAAUCAAUUUGCUUUAGUCAAGAAUUUUAGUAUAUUGAAGGACUUUUUGUCUUAUUUUAAAAAUAUGCUUUAAAUUGUAAAAAUAUUCGAAUUAGCUCUCGCCGCGAUAUAGCCUUUUUGUGCUAAUGCGGCGUAAAGCAACCAACAAUCAAUCAAUCAAUCAAAUAGUUUGGAUAGUUUACCUUGAUUAUCUGACAAAAAAGCCAUAUUCAUGAUAUUGUGGAAUGAAAAAGAACUGAC
rnacentral:lncRNA from 1 species